rnacentral:sRNA from 1 species
CUUCGAAAUCGCCGCCGCUCUCACCAUGGCUUGGGUCCAGACUGCGCCACAGCCUCUCGGGAGACGUGGGCCCUCGGAACCUUUUUAGUGCCGGACUCCGGGCCGCAGGCAGUCCCGCGGCAGCAGGAUCACAGAACCUCUGGAUGGACUCUUCCUGGGAAGCUUUGCUACUUUGCAGCAGCUGGACCAUGUUCCUCAUUAACAUCUGUCUGUCAGCUUAGUCGUCACAUCAUUUCACUGUGGUGGCAGGGACUCAGCUCGGAAUUCUGUAUAGAAAAAGCACCUGGAUCUCAGUCUUUCAAUGGCUUCAAGACAACCAGAAGUGCCUGCUCUUGAGGCUAGUGGGCCUCUAGGCAAGAUGUCCCUGCCCAUCGGGAUAUACCGCCGGGCACUCAGCUAUGAUGAUACCCUCGAGGACCCUGCGCCCAUGACUCCUCCUCCAUCGGACAUGGGCAGCGUCCCUUGGAAGCCAGUGAUUCCAGAGCGCAAGUAUCAGCACCUCGCCAAGGCCUGAGCAAGGUAUCAGGUGUUUCGAUUGCAGAAGGUGGAGGCUGCCAGCUCUUGCAUGUUGAAAAUGAGGAGCUAAGUAGAUUUUUUUGUUUGUUUCAAAAGACCAUUACUUGAACCUUGGGAGCAGUGGUCCUCAAGGUGUGGUCUUGGGACCGGCAGCAUCAGUAACACCUGGGAAUUUAUUAGAAACAAAUUCUUGAACUCCACCCCAGACUAACCGGGACCUACUG